rnacentral:rRNA from 1 species
GACGAACGCUGGCGGCGUGCUUAACACAUGCAAGUCGAACGGAAAGGCCCUGCUUUUGUGGGGUGCUCGAGUGGCGAACGGGUGAGUAACACGUGAGUAACCUGCCCUUGACUUUGGGAUAACUUCAGGAAACUGGGGCUAAUACCGGAUAGGAGCUCCUGCUGCAUGGUGGGGGUUGGAAAGUUUCGGCGGUUGGGGAUGGACUCGCGGCUUAUCAGCUUGGUGGUGGGGUAGUGGCUUACCAAGGCUUUGACGGGUAGCCGGCCUGAGAGGGUGACCGGACACAUUGGGAAUGAGAUACGGCCCGGACUCCUACGGGAGGCAGCAGUGGGGAAUAUUGCACAAUGGGCGGAAGGCUGAUGCAGCAACGCCGCGUGCGGGAUGACGGCCUUCGGGUUGUAAACCGCUUUCGCCUGUGACGAAGCGUGAGUGACGGUAAUGGGUAAAGAAGCACCGGCUAACUACGUG